rnacentral:rRNA from 1 species
CAAUAGCGUAUAUUAAAGUUGUUGCAGUUAAAAAGCUCGUAGUUGGAUUUCUGGUUGGAGCGACCGGUCGGGCAUUGAUUUGUCUGCACUGGAGUCGGUUCUGGCCAUCCUCUUGGAAAGUGCGUCUGUCAUUAAGUUGUCGGGCGUAUGAUCCAGGUCUUUUACUGUGAAAAAAUUAGAGUGUUUAAAGCAGGCCUUCGCCUUGAAUACAUUAGCAUGGAAUAAUAAGAUAGGACUUUGGUCUAUUUUGUUGGUUUGCAGACCGAAGUAAUGAUUAAUAGGGAUAGUUGGGGGUAUUUAUAUUCCAAUGUCAGAGGUGAAAUUCUUAGAUUUUUGGAAGAUAAACUUAUGCGAAAGCAUUUACCAAGGAUGUUUUCAUUAA